rnacentral:lncRNA from 1 species
UUAUAAAACCAUCAGAUCUUGUCAGACUUAUUCACUACCAUGAGAACAGCAUGGGAAAACCAGCCCCCAUGAUUCAAUUUCCUCCCAUUGGGUGCCUCCCACUACACAUGGGAUUAUGGAAGCUACAAUUCAAGAUGAGAUUUGGGUUGGGACACAGUCAAACCAUAUCACAGACUUAUAAUCAAAUGAACAAUUGUAAAAUUGUUCAUUUACAUGCUUGAGAGUCUGGACUUUAUUUUUGUGAUGUUUAGUACAGAGUUGGAUACCAAUUAGGAACUCAGUAUAUUUAACGAAUAACUUCAUUUUUUCCUUUUAUACCAAAGUUUUAUAUGUUUACACCCCAGAUUCCUCCUCCCUGUCCCCUCAUCCUCUGCUAUGUCCUUUACCAUUUCCUUUCUUCCUCUUCAUUCCUUUCUUGCUCUUUCUCUCUCUCUUCCCCCUUUCUCUCCUCUCCCUAUAUGUCUUUCUUUCUUUUUUUCUUUCAGUCUCUCUCUGGUUGUCUCUCUUUACCUCUAGAUCACCUGGCAUCACAAUUCUAGCCCAGAUACCUCUCCUGUUGUUGCCAAAAUGUCAAGGGUUUGAUCUAGGUCCUGUUGCUCACCACACAGAAAGCCAGUCGCUGAGACCACAAGCAUUGCCGGGGAAAAAGGCUUUAUUUGGGUGCUGUUAGUCAGGGAGAGAGGAGAUAAGUCUCAAAUCUGUCUCUCCAACUGACUAAAAUUGGGAGUUUAUAUUCUGGGGAGGAAAUGUAACUAUAUGCAGAAAGACAGAAGUUAGGGAGGGGUAAGGAAGCAGUCAUGAUGGAUGAGAGGUCUGGUGUCUCAUUGUCUAGCUGCAGUGAUCUGAUGAGUUUCAGUUCCUUGAUACUAUCUGGGAGGACUGACUGUCUGUUUCCUGAGAAAGGAACUCAGAUGAGACAAAAGUAAGUUUCAGGCUUUAAGACUGGGAGGGUCAACUUCUGUGUUUAUUCAGAACACUGUAAGCAUCUGUCCAAUGGGAAAAUUGGGCCAGUUUCACUCUUGAAUGGAGCCAGCUGGCAAAGCUGGAAGUGAGGGAGUCUUUUUCAGAGACCCUGGAGUGUGCCCAGAAUUUAUUUCCUGGGAAGCGAGGUGCGGUUCGGUGAUGUCUCUGGCGAGUAAGCGUGAGGAUGAGACUCCACCAGUCCCAUUGGGCAGGGAGCUUCCUUCCUGGAAAAAUGUCCUCUUUAUGCUGAAUCCCUUCAGAGACCCUAGCUGUACAGUGAUUCAGGGAAAGGUCCUGCCUCCCUCUUUGUGUCUCCAUGUGACUAAAAUGGGGGAAAUAAUACCACAGAGGCCUCAUGGGACUAUGGAGAAGAGUAAAUGAGCUGAUAUAUAUAAACAUGCCGAGCGUGGUGCCUGCCAUCGCAGAUGUUCAAGAAACACAAGUUUUCUGUCUCCCUUUGCCCAUUGUGUUUGAGAAUACAAAGCCCUUAGUUAACGGAAGCGCUAGUCGGGGAGCGGGAAAUCUGAGCUCUAGUCCUGGUUCUACCAUGGUGUGACUUUGGGUGCAUCAUCUUCCCUUUCUGAACCUCCAUUACAAAAAAUCUAUAAUGUGGUGAUGAAUGAUAAUGUUAUCUACCUCACAGAAUUUCAGAUGGGAUUACAUUAAAUACAGUGGUGUUUGAGUAAGAGAUGAUCAUGGUCUCUGGCAAGUGACAACAACAAUAAAAACUAAAAAAAUGGCUGGAUGUGGUGGUUCAUGCCUGUAAUACCAGCACUUUGGGAGGCCAAGGCGGGUGGAUCACUUGAGGCCAGGAGUUUGAGACUAGCCCAGCCUACACAGUGAAACCCCACCUCUAGUAAUGCAAAAAAAAUUAGCCAAGUGAGGUGGUACAUGCCUGUAGUCCCAGCUACUCAGGAGACUGAGGCAGAAGAGCCACUUGAACCCAGGAGGUGGAGGUUGCAGUGAGCUGAGAUCAUAGCACUGUACUCCAGCCUGGGUGACACAGCAAGACCCUGUCUCAAAAAAUUAAAAAAAAAAAAA